AUGAUAAAUGUUCAUUUUAAAGCAGGUACUGAAGCAAACAGCCAGAGACAUGUAGACCUCUCAAAUGACCUAAGACCACGUCAACUGUGUGCAUUACACUGCACCAAUUUUUUGACUCAAGGUUAUGUAAACAUUAAAGGACAUAAGCAGAAGAGUGUGAUGCUGCAGCAGAAACUGAAGUCUUUGCUCCACUCCAAGCAGGAAGAAUCAGGAAGCCAAGACAUCCUUAAACUGCUGGCUGCUUGUUUGGGCCUUGGGGCCAUUGCUCAUCUGUGA
rnacentral:lncRNA from 1 species